GUCCAGGAGAGUCAGUGAAUCACAUGUUUAUUGUACUAAUACCACCCUUUUUCUUCUUUAUAUUAAUUUACGUUUUUACCCCUCGCUGAUAUUUUGACAGCAAGGAUGGUGUGAUAGUGUUGGAUCUGUUGAAGAAAUUCUACUGGCAAGAAAGUCAUUGCUACCAUAUUCAAGAAAACAAUUGGUAUGCCAAAGAAGAGCAAGAACAUGGCAUUAAGAAUCAGUUAAAAUCUACUGGCAAGAAAGUCAUUGCUUCAAAUCUUCAUUCCGAUUUAGCAAAUGAGAAAGUGGCCCAAUCUCAAUCUGACGGCUUUGAUUCUCCUCCUAUCAAGUCAACUACCAUUCAAGAAGUUCCUGCUUUGUUGUCUGUCAAGUAAAAGCCCAAGUCAAAACCAGUAAAGGAUUCGAUUCAGUCAAGAUCUCAUAGCAAUCCCAAAGAGAGGUCCACAAGUUUGGGUAAUCAGGGAAAGAAACGACUAUCACUUCCGAGUAACGGCAAAAUAGGGAAAGGUGUUGGGAGCUCAAAUAGCAAGGUUCACAACCGACAAAAGCCAAUUAAGAUAUUUUUCAAGUCAAAUGGAAGUCAACAAGAUCAUAUAAACAGUUGAUGGAUGCUUGUAUAUACAUGAGUUAUUUAGCGCAUCAAGUUGCAACCGAAUUGCUGAGAUGUUUUCUCAAUAAUUAUUACAAUGUUCUUUAGUAAUGUUGUGUCUGUCGGAUGGUGUGUCAUUACUUUGUAACUACCAAUGUGUAUGUUGUAUUACCGGACAUUUGUUUGGGUACCAGAUGAGAUGGACAUCAAGCACUAAAGUGGGUGCUUGGUGUAUGUUGAUGAAGUUCAUUUGUAGUUUUGAGUU